UACGGGGGGGGCAAGCGUUGUUCGGAAUUACUGGGCGUAAAGGGCUCGUAGGUGGCCAACUAAGUCGGACGUGAAAUCCCUCGGCUUAACCGGGGAACUGCGUCUGAUACUGGAUGGCUUGAGUUUGGGAGAGGGACGCGGAAUUCCAGGUGUAGCGGUGAAAUGCGUAGAUAUCUGGAGGAACACCGGUGGCGAAGGCGGCGUCCUGGACCAAUACUGACACUGAAAAGCGAAAGCCAGGGGAGCAAACGGG
rnacentral:rRNA from 1 species